rnacentral:lncRNA from 1 species
GGAGAUCAGAAACCAGACCAGCCUCAGCUCUUCUAAAACUCCAGGUAGACAGUGUCCGACAUGAGCUGCUACCAGGAAAGGUUUUCCUCGGAGGAUGACUACUGCACCUACGCGUCGAAAAUGGAGAAGAAGACAGACAUGACUAAAGGGCCUCACUUCCCUCAGCUUCACACUGUGAUCAAGCACAAGGAGGUCCAUAUGGAAGAGGACGAGUCACGCCCUGGAAUCUUUGGCCGGCCGAGGCACGAGGAGUGGUCUGAAGAGGAGACCUAUGAAAUGUCUGAGACCACCUACGCAGGCGACAUGGGCAUGAAAGGGGGAGAGCGCAUCAGGCGCAAGGUGUAUAUAUGAGACUAUCAUCUAUAUAUAGUUCUGUGGUGAUGGAUGCCAUGGCUUGGCAUCUUUAUAUAUAGAAUAAAUCUCGGGCUUAUCUGCUGUAUAUCCAUAUGAAUAAUACUAUACUUCUCUAGUACUCAAGCUAUAGCUCUAUACUUUAGCCUACUACAUUCACUC